GACAGAGGCCCCAAGCGUUAGGCGGAAUCACUGGGCUUAAAGCGUGUGUAGGCGGACGCCUAAGUGUCUUGUGAAAUCCCACGGCUCACCCGUGGAACUGCUGGGCAUACUGGGCGUCUUGGGCCAACUAGGGGCAGCCGGAACAAGCGGUGGAGCGGUGAAAUGCGUAGAUAUCGGAAGGAACAUCAGUGGCGAAAGCGGCUUCCUGGACCAGUACCGACGUUCAGGCACGAAAGCGUGGGGAGCAAACAGG
rnacentral:rRNA from 1 species